GGCGAGGACAGCAGCGACGAAGCGCAGGCUCCCAACAGUGGCAGCUCGGCAGCAGCGGGGAGCGGUUCCUUGCUGUUGCUGCGAGGUGCGGCGCGGCAAAGCCAAGUGCUGGGGGA
rnacentral:SRP_RNA from 1 species